GGUACAUCGGUGACAGGUGGUGCAUGGUUGUCGUCAGCUCGUGUCGUGAGAUGUGGUUAAGUCCCGCAACGAGCGCAACCCCUAUUGUUAGUUGCCAUCAUUCAGUUGGGCACUCUAGCGAGACUGCCGGUAAUAAACCGGAGGAAGGUGGGGAUGACGUCAAAUCAUCAUGCCCCUUAUGACCUGGGCUACACACGUGCUACAAUGGUUGGUACAACGAGUUGCGAGUCGGUGACGGCGAGCUAAUCUCUUAAAGCCAAUCUCAGUUCGGAUUGUAGGCUGCAACUCGCCUACAUGAAGUCGGAAUCGCUAGUAAUCGCGGAUCAGCACGCCGCGGUGAAUACGUUCCCGGGCCUU
rnacentral:rRNA from 1 species